UACGAAGGGGGCUAGCGUUGCUCGGAAUCACUGGGCGUAAAGCGCACGUAGGCGGCUUCUAAGUCAGAGGUGAAAUCCCGGAGCUCAACUCCCGGAACUGCCUUUGAUACUGGAGAGCUUGAGUUCGGGAGAGGUGAGUGGAACUGCGAGUGUAGAGGUGAAAUUCGUAGAUAUUCGCAAGAACACCAGUGGCGAAGGCGGCUCACUGGCCCGAUACUGACGCUGAGGUGCGAAAGCGUGGGGAGCAAACAGG
rnacentral:rRNA from 1 species